rnacentral:rRNA from 1 species
UACGAGAGGCGCAAACGUUAUUCGGAAUUACUGGGCUUAAAGAGUUCGUAGGCGGCGCAGAAAGUAGGGUGUGAAAGCCCUCGGCUUAACCGAGGAAUUGCGCUCUAAACUACUGUGCUUGAGGGACCUAGAGGUGAGCGGAACUGAUGGUGGAGCGGUGAAAUGCGUUGAUAUCAUCAGGAAUACCGGAGGCGAAGGCGGCUCACUGGGGGUUAUCUGACGCUGAGGAACGAAAGCCAGGGGAGCGAACGGG